UACGUAGGUGACCAGCGUUGUCCGGAUUUACUGGGUUUAAAGGGUGUGUAGGCGGACUUUUAAGUCAGCGGUGAAAUCUCCGGGCUCAACCCGGAAACUGCCAUUGAUACUAUUGGUCUUGAAUGUUGUUGAGGUGGGCGGAACGGGUCAUGUAGCGGUGAAAUGCAUAGAUAUGACCCGGAACACCGAUUGCGAAGGCAGCCCACUAAGCAAUGAUUGACGCUGAGGCACGAAAGCGUGGGGAGCAAACAGG
rnacentral:rRNA from 1 species